GCGCCGCCCAGGGCGGGGUGAGGUGGGGGGAGAGGGGCUCCGCUAUCGAUUGAGGCUGCCUGGAGGGGGCGGCGGCCCGGCUCCCGUUAUUGCCACGGGCGCCCCUGCUGCCCCCGCCCGUCCGCCCGCCGCCGCCGCCAUGUGGAGAGCGGCCGCCGCCGCCGCCUGGGCCCCGGUGCGGGCCCUGUGCCGCGCCCCGCCGCCGCCGCGGCGGCGGCUUGUCAGCGUGGCCGUGUCACCCGCCGCCGGUUUGGCGGACGAGAGGGUGGAGACGCGGGUGGCGGGGCUGGGCCCGGGGCAGCCGGUGACCCUGCGGGCGGUGGCGGCAGAUGAGCGCGGUUGCCUCUUCCAGUCGUGCGCGCAUUACCGGGCGGACAGCCGCGGCGAGCUGCACCUGGGCACGGACGCCUCGCACGGCGGGGACUACACCGGCGUGGAGCCCAUGGGGCUCUUCUGGAGCCUCGCCCCUGCCGGCAUGGAGAGGCCCUACCAGCGGCUCGUUCCCCGCAGCACCGGCACCCCGAUGAAGGUGGAGAUGUUGGUCCACCACGGUCACAGCCUGCCCGGCGCCAUCCCCGGGCCGGUGGUGGCCAAGGCCGAGGUGGAGAGGUGGUUCACGGCGCCCGGCGUGCGGAGGAUCCGGCUGAAGGAGGGAGGCGUGAGGGGCUCCCUCUUCUUGCCGCCGGGGGAUGGCCCCUUUCCAGGAGUGAUUGACAUGUACGGUGAUGAAGGAGGCUUGAUUGAAUUUAGAUCCAGUCUCCUGGCUGCCCGUGGUUUUGCUGCUCUUUCUUUGCCAUAUUUUGACUUUGAAGACCUGCCUAAGGUCAUGAAAGAAUUCAAACUCGAGUACUUUGAGGAAGCAGCUAGAUUCCUACGGCGUCACCCGAAGGUGAAGGGACCAGGAGUUGGAGUGAUUGGGACUGGGAAAGGGGCAGAAUUAGCACUCUCCAUGAUCACCUUCCUGCCAGAAAUAGUGGCUGCUGUCUGUAUCUCCGGCUGUAGUUCAAACACAGUUGCAGACCUCCAUUAUGGUGAGAUGACUCUGCCUGGGCUGCGUUUUGAUAUGAAUAAGGCAAAAGCAACAACUAUCAAAGAAGCUCUAGCGAAAUGGGAAGAGAAAAAUGGCCAGAAGGCUUCAGAGGCAAAGGAGGUGAAACUGUACGGUCAGAUUCCUCCUGUAGAGAAGAUGGAUGAAUCUCUUUCCACACUUGUUAGCUGCGAGAAACUAUCACUGUCUACAAACUGCAUUGAAAGAAUCGCCAACUUGAACAGCCUAAAAAAUUUGAGGAUUCUAUCUUUGGGAAGAAAUAACAUAAAGAACUUGAAUGGAUUGGAGGCAGUUGCAGAUACUUUAGAGGAGCUGUGGAUCUCAUACAACUUCAUUGAGAAACUGAGGGGUAUCCGUGUAAUGAAGAAGCUGAAGGUUCUUUAUAUGUCGAAUAAUUUGGUGAAGGACUGGGCAGAGUUUGUGAGACUGGCAGAGCUGCCAUUACUAGAGGAUCUGGUGUUUGUAGGCAAUCCACUACAAGAGAAAUAUGCCUCUGACCAGAAGAACAAUUGGAUUGAAGAAGCAACCAAACGGGUACCCAAGCUGAAAAAGCUGGACGGUGAGUUUGGGGCGUGAGGCAAUUGGUGUGAGUUAACAGCUUAAUAUAAAGACAACCACAGGGAAAUUAAUCAUAACCUCAGAAACGCAUUUGUGUGCCCAUGUUAUAUUCCUCCCUCCUCUCUGUGGAAUUAGUCAGAAGUAGGCUAACUUUCAGCAGCUGAAUUUUGCAGCCCUGGCUGCAGGAUGUUCUGAAAGCAUUUGAUGGUUUUUGGAGUAUUAAGCCCGACCGCUUGUGGCCCACAGCAGGCCUUUACUCUUGAAGUUAUCCAGUCAGAUAGUUCUAGCACGUAACUACUAAUGAACUGAAACACACUGGUUUGAAGUUCUCUUGUGGAGUUCAUUUGUUGACUUGCAUAAUCAUAUAGUUCAGUGUUUAGCAUUAAAUAAGAAGGCUUUCAUCUGCCAUGCUGAAUUACAGUUUUCUGCAACAAAAGAGGGUGACAUGGGGGAAUGGGGACAGGGAUAUGUUCUGUUUUGCUCUGGUGCAGGGGCAAGUUAUCAAAACUUGAAGCAAGUUUCCUAAAUGCCUGAAUAUCCCCUUCUUGUCACCGCACUAAGCCUCAAUUUAUAAGCUGUCCUCUCUUUUUUUGGUCACUGAUACGAAAAUAUAUUAAAGCAUGUUCUGAUGACUGAAAGUGAGAUAAUUUUAAAAUUGAUUUUUAAAGAUGUUAAUUUCUGUUAAUGGAGAUGUUAGCUGUUCACUGUUAUCUGCUGUUUAAUAAAGCAGUGAAGAGGAGACACCAGUAACACUAAUAAAGAGUUGGAGUAACAGCAGGGAAGGUACGAGCGUAGGGAUGGCGACAAGAGGACAUCAUCCGCACAGGGAGCAAUGGGUGGGAGAUCAAAGCCAGAUCAACUGCAGUAGUAGGAAUUCUUGGGAAGUGGAAGCCUGGUGAGAUGUGUGCUGCUGUGAAGGAUGGCCUGCAGUAGUCCAUUUGCUGUUGUAGUGGAAAGCAUUUUGAGUGAAACAAAAAAUGGAAUAGGCUGAGUAGCUGUACAGGCAAAGAGUAACCUUGUAAGUGUAAGGUUAGACCCUUGGUUUCUUAAGCAUUCCUGCAGCUGGGAGCAAUGGACAGCUCUGAAUUAGGCAGGUACAUUUCCUGUGCAAUGUAGAGAGGAUGAUAUUUAAGAAUGGAAACCACAAACACUAGAGCGUUGGGCACAAAAGAAGUUAGAAAUGCUGUAACUGGCCGUAAGGUUCUUGCUGUUACACUGUCCCAGGAUCCCGUUAUGUUUAUGUACUAUAUGUGAGAGGACUAAUACAGGGACCUCAAAAUUACUGAAAUGGUUGAAGAUCUUCUGGACAAAAAUAAGCACUGAAAGCCUCUUUCAGCAGGUAUCCUAGUUAUUAAGCAAGAAGAAGAAGAAGAAGGAGCAAACUGAUGGCACUUUCUUAUUGGGUAUUUAUUUAAGUAACUCCAGCUAGCUCAGUGCAUAGAACUUUUAUAUAAAUGUUUUUGAAGAAAAUCUUUGGGCAGUUUUUAAAAACCAGCUUCUCUCCACAGCCUGUCACCCAAAGAGUUGGUUACCAAAAUUCGGGCACACCAAUUUUGUCAAGCUUGUGACACCUUCUGCACAGAGCAGUGGAGCUGAGUUUAUCUGCUCUUUGGCUAGCAAGAGAGCUUUACCUAAAUUAAUACAUAGCUUUUUUUUAAUCCCUGAUUAGUGGUGCUUGUCAUUCACUCCUGGGUGAUAAUAGAACCGUUUUAGGUCAUUACGUACAGCUGGCCAACAUUGUCAUUGGAAACUGAAGCCAAAAGAACAAUGGUGUGGUUUAGAGACAGGCUUUGUUGUGUUUAAUUUUGUCAUGGGAGUCCCUCAGUAUUUUAAAUAUGUGCGUUUGCCUUUUCAUUCCCUUACUGUUAUGCCAGACAGGCCAGGUAGUCGUGGACCUAUGCACAAAAAAGGUAUUGGCCUGAUGAGCGCUUGUUGCUGGCCUUAACUUUUGAACUGGGCUUCUCGCGUUGGAACUCAACUGCAUUGCCGAGGCGGCCAUGUGUAACUUAUGUGUUUAUUUAUUUUAAAGAGGCAAUGGGAAUUCGUUGCAUGUGUUCAGUGAGACUAAAAUAUUUGCUAGCU